UACGUAGGGUGCAAGCGUUAUCCGGAAUUAUUGGGCGUAAAGAGCUCGUAGGCGGUUUGUCGCGUCUGCUGUGAAACCCGAGGCUCAACCUCGGGCCUGCAGUGGGUACGGGCAGACUAGAGUGCGGUAGGGGAGAUUGGAAUUCCUGGUGUAGCGGUGGAAUGCGCAGAUAUCGAGGAGGAACACCAAUGGCGAAGGCAGAUCUCUGGGCCUUACCUGACGCUCAGGUGCGAAAGCUAGGGAGCGAACAGG
rnacentral:rRNA from 1 species